rnacentral:rRNA from 1 species
GACGAACGCUGGCGGCGUGCUUAACACAUGCAAGUCACGGGGGCCCGCAAGGGCAACCGGCGAACGGGUGCGUAACACGUGAGCGACCUGCCUUUCCGCGGGGGAUAGCCGGCCCAACGGCCGGGUAAUACCGCAUACGCUGCUCGGGCCGCAUGGCCUGAGUAGGAAACCUCCGGGGCGGAGAGAGGGGCUCGCGACCUAUCAGCUAGUUGGCGAGGUAACGGCUCACCAAGGCGGCGACGGGAGCUGGUCUGAGAGGAUGGCCAGCCACAUUGGGACUGAGAUACGGCCCAGACUCCUACGGGAGGCAGCAGUGGGGAAUAUUGCGCAAUGGCCUAACGGCUGACGCAGCGACGCCGCGUGUGGGAUGAAGCUCCUCGGAGUGUAAACCACUGUUGCCCGGGACGAAUAGCUCGAUUAAUCGAGCCUGACGGUACCGGGUGAGGAAGCACCGGCUAACUCCGUGCCAGCAGCCGCCGCUGUAAC